UUUAUUUAAUAUACAUAAGCGUAUUGUGUUCUUCGUAUUAUUACAGUUUUUGUAUUACCGAUAUUUUUUUUUGCACAUAAUUCGGAACAGAACCACAUUUUGUGCAUGUUAUCUAUUAAGAAAUUUUUUAUCUACGUAGUUCAAUGUUCACGUUUUACGGACAUAGAGGCGCUUUAACUUUAAAUGGGUUCCACGUAGCAUAAAUCGAGGACAUGUGACCGUUUCGCAGGUUCUCUCUGCUUCUAUGUACUUUGAAUAUUAUCUUUAAUAUUUAGCUAUAUGUAAAGUAAGCAACACUGAAGAUUUUGAAGGUUCCUUAAAUGAAGAUUAUUUAAAAAUGAAUAAAAGAAAAAGCAAUGUCCCACAUUACGUUAACGUUAAACGUAAAAGAACAUUAUCCUCAAAUAGACAAUGUUCGAAGCCGAAAUCAUCAACAACAGUUCCAAUUGAUGAAUAUAAUUCUACAGUAAAUUUGUGUUCAUCUAGAUGUCAAAUAAGAAAGACAGGCUGUACUACAGCAAAAAUCUCAAAAUAUCAUAUACUAGAGAGUGGAAAUACGGGACAAGAAAUAUGUUAUAACAUACUGAAUACAGAUAUUGGGCUUAAUGGAUAUUACAAAAACAUUAAUUACAAAAACACUUUUUACAAAAACAAUUUUAAUAUUGUUAUAUCGAUCUUGUCACCUAUCUUGGAAAAAUUCAGAAUUCAGCACAACAGAUUUAAUUAUCACGAGGAAUUGAAAUAUAUAAUAGCAAGAGAUAGCAAAAAGUAUGCACAUAAAAACAAAUAUAAGAAUCAAAUUCAUCGACGUUCAUUAAAAUCUUUCUUUUAUUCACUAUUAUAUAAAACUGUUCCUCCACAAUUAUUUGGAACAUCACAAAAUUUUAAAGUUAUAAAAAGAACAGUAGGUCGUCUUUUGAGAACUGUUCCAGAAAAUAAAUUAAUAACAAAAGCUUUUAAAAGAACUAUACGAAGAAAAAAUGUUAUUAGGGCAUCGUUAGAUAUGCAACCAUUGUUCAACAAGUUUGAUAUUUUCAAAAUUGAGUGGUUGCAUUUAAUUGAUAAUAAUACAGUACGAUGGAUAAUUGUAUUAAAACUAUUAUUUUGGUUCUUUGCACAAUAUAUAAUAAAAAUUUUACAUAAACAUGUAGUAUUGACAUCAGUUAAAAAUCAAUGGGUUUACAUUGCAAAAGAUGAUUGGUGCAAAAUGCAAGAAGAAUUUAUAAAAGAAAAAGUAAGUUCAUGUGGUCUUGUGCCUUGGACACGCAUGCAAAUAGAUGAGAAGAAAUUUAAUAUACCUAUUGGGACAUACAAAUUUCUUCCAAGUUCCUCUGGUUUGAGAGCUUUAUUAAUAGCAAAAUAUAAUAUUAAAGAGAGAUAUGAUGAAGUUGAUGUUAGUUUGAGAUUUCUGCAGCAGUUAUAUGUCACAUACUGUAAUAAAAAUGGAAAAUUUCCAACUGUAAAAAGCUGCAUAGAGGAGGUGAAUAAAUUUAAACGUUCAACCAAAAAUCAAUUAUAUUAUGUACGUUGUGAUAUACAAGAUGCAUUUGGUUCAAUAAUACAAGGUUGAAAUAGAUAGUCAAGUAUAUUUAAUAAAGCAUGGUGUACCACAAGGUAUGCGGAUAUCACCAAUAUUUUCUGAAAUAUAUUACCAAGACAUGAUCAAUAAAAUAUUCUCUGCAUAUGAAAAUAAUGGACUUCUAUGCAGAUAUGUUGAUGAUAUUUUAUAUAUCACAGAAAAUGAACAUUAUGCAACAGAGUUGCUCGGAAAAUCGCCCGCAGUACUUCGGGACUCAAAAAGAAGGAAAAAAGCUAUAUAAGCAUAUGUAAUAUCCGAGUUAUAGUUACUAUUCUAUGUUAAAAAAUUCGCAAUUUAUAGUUCGCUUAGCAUCCUUUUUUUAUAUUUUUAAUUUAAAUUUAAAUUUUAAAUAUAAAUUUAAAUUUCUAGCAAAAGAUACAUAUGAAACAAUAUAAAAUAAUAAUUGACUGGCAUACUAUAUAUUACAGCAAACCUUAAUGCGCUUUUAUGCGCAUGAAUGCUUUUUAUGAUGUUUUUAUAUG
rnacentral:misc_RNA from 1 species